rnacentral:rRNA from 1 species
GACGAACGCUGGCGGCGUGCUUAACACAUGCAAGUCGAACGGAAAGGCACUGCUUUUGUGGGGUGCUCGAGUGGCGAACGGGUGAGUAACACGUGAGUAACCUGCCCUUGACUUUGGGAUAACUUCAGGAAACUGGGGGUAAUACCGGAUAGGAGCUCCUGCUGCAUGGUGGGGGUUGGAAAGUUUCGGCGGUUGGGGAUGGACUCGCGGCUUAUCAGCUUGUUGGUGGGGUAGUGGCUUACCAAGGCUUUGACGGGUAGCCGGCCUGAGAGGGUGACCGGCCACAUUGGGACUGAGAUACGGCCCAGACUCCUACGGGAGGCAGCAGUGGGGAAUAUUGCACAAUGGGCGGAAGCCUGAUGCAGCAACGCCGCGUGCGGGAUGACGGCCUUCGGGUUGUAAACCGCUUUCGCCUGUGACGAAGCGUGAGUGACGGUAAUGGGUAAAGAAGCACCGGCUAACUACGUG